rnacentral:rRNA from 1 species
GAUGAACGCUAGCGGCGGGCUUAAUACAUGCAAGUCGAGGGGUGGUAGCAAUACUACACCGGCGCACGGGUGCGUAACGCGGAUGCAAUCUACCUUUAUCUGGGGGAUAGCCCGGGGAAACCCGGCUUAAUACCGCAUAAGUAAGUAACCUGGCAUCAGGUAGCUUUUAAAGAUUUAUAAGAUAAAGAUGAGCAUGCGGAAGAUUAGAUAGUUGGCGAGGUAACGGCUCACCAAGUCUACGAUCUUUAGGGGCUCUGAGAGGAGAAUCCCCCACACGGGCACUGAGAUACGGGCCAGACUCCUACGGGAGGCAGCAGUAGGGAAUAUUGGGCAAUGGACGCAAGUCUGACCCAGCCACGCCGCGUGCAGGAAGAAGGCCCUCUGGGUUGUAAACUGCUUUUGACUGGGAAGAAAAGACCUCUUGCGAGAGGAGUUGACGGUACCAGCAGAAUAAGCCACGGCUAACUACGUGCCAGCAGCCGCGGUAAAAC